UACGUAGGGGGCAAGCGUUAUCCGGAUUUACUGGGUGUAAAGGGAGCGUAGACGGCGAUGCAAGUCUGAAGUGAAAGGCGGGGGCCCAACCCCCGGACUGCUUUGGAAACUGUAUGGCUGGAGUGCAGGAGAGGUAAGUGGAAUUCCUAGUGUAGCGGUGAAAUGCGUAGAUAUUAGGAGGAACACCAGUGGCGAAGGCGGCUUACUGGACUGUAACUGACGUUGAGGCUCGGAAGCGUGGGGAGCAAACAGG
rnacentral:rRNA from 1 species